rnacentral:rRNA from 1 species
UACGGGGGGAGCGAACGUUGUUCGGAAUCACUGGGCGUAAAGGGCGUGUAGGCGGCUGAAUAAGUGGGAUGUUAAAUCCCCCGGCUCAACCGGGGACCUGCAUCUCAUACUGUUCAGCUCGAGCACAUCAGAGGAGACUGGAAUUCCCGGUGUAGCGGUGAAAUGCGCAGAUAUCGGGAGGAACACCAGUAGCGAAGGCGGCUCGCUGGGCCACACCUGACGCUGAGGCGCGAAAGCGUGGGGAGCAAACAGG